rnacentral:siRNA from 1 species
AAUGGUGCUAAAAAUUAUAGUGA